rnacentral:rRNA from 1 species
UACGUAGUGUCCGAGCGUUGCCCGGAAUUACUGGGCGUCAAGAGCUCGUAGGUGGUUUGUCGCGUUGUUCGUGAAAACUCACAGCUCAACUGUGGGCGUGCGGGCGAUACGGGCAGACUAGAGUACUGCAGGGGAGACUGGAAUUCCUGGUGUAGCGGUGAAAUGCGCAGAUAUCAGGAGGAACACCGGUGGCGAAGGCGGGUCUCUGGGCCGAUAUUGACGCUGAGGAGCGAAAGCGUGGGGAGCGAACAGG